GUAUGUAUGUAUGUGUGUAUAUAUAUAUAUAUGUGUGUGUAUGUGUUUGCAUAUAUAUAUAUAUAUGUUUGUAUUUGCAUAUAUAUAUAUGUGUGUGUAUGUGUUUGCAUAUAUAUAUAUAUAUAUGUUUGUAUUUGCAUAUAUAUAUAUGUUUGUGUAUGUGUGUGUAUCCAGUUGAGUAAAAAGUAAGCAACGUUUUGAGCCAUGAAGAAUUUUUAUCAGAUUUUUGCAGAGCUUUGAAUUUUUUUAACAUUUUUUUGGAAAACCAUCUGUCAUUGAUGAUGGUCAAUUAAAGACUGUCAUUGAGAAAGAUCUUGAAUGAAAAUCAAAAGAGGGCCAAUCAAUCUUCAUGACUCGACCACACGUUUCACUAAUGACACUCCAGAAGAUGAGGGAACUUGGCUACGAAGUUCUUCCCCACCCAGCUUAUUCCCCAAACCUUUCUCCUACCAACUAUCACUUUUUCAAACACCUUGAUGGUUUCCUGUGAGAGAAGAAGUUAAAAAAUCAAACUGAUGCUGAAAGUAUGUUCAAAAAGUUCAUCAGCUCCAGAACUCCAGAUUUUUAUGUUACCGGAAUAAACAAACUUGUGACUUGUUGGCAAAAAGUUGUUGAUUGUAAUGGUACUUACUUUGAUAAAUAAAAUUUCCGCAAUGUUGAAAUAUAUAGUGAUGAAUUUCAUAUUUCAAAACGUUGAUUACUUUUUACUCAGCCUGCUAUACGUGUGUGUGUGUGUGUGUGUGUGUGUGCAUGUGUAGUGUGGGUGUGUGUAUAUAUAUAUAUAUUCAUAUUCUUUUAUUAGUUUCAGCCAGUGGAGCAAGUCCAUCCAAGGGCACUGACAUUAAGGGAUUAGUUCAUCAUUUUAACUCAAUUUCACUUGGUGACAAUGCAUGCAAUCCUUCCCUGGGUGAAUUAUUGCAAGCACGCAAUAAGCUAAAACCUACAGUCAACGAGAAUAGGGUUUCUAUUCCUACAGAGUCUGACCCCACCCUCAAACAUCCUGAUGCAGCCAAAAACAAAGAGAAGCCUCAACCAUCACAAAAACCUUCGUUCAUAUCUGAAAUAAAUAACAAAUUUAAAAACAUCCCCUUUCCAGGAAAGGAGUCUUCCCCAGCAAUAAAUCGAAAGAAAAGCUUCGGUUCUGAGCCCACAAAUAAAGGUACCUAGUUAUUUCUUAUACUUUUUCACUGCUGGAAAUGGUAAUAGAAGUGGAUCAGGUAUGUACUUGGUGUUGUAGUCAGUGUUUAUGUUUGUGAACUAUUGAAAACACUCCAUUAGAGGUAUAUACAUAUUAAGAUCAAUGAUUUACUAGAUUUUUGAUAGCUUCACAUGAAGUGAAUUAUAAACAUUACCUAUACUCUUUUACUUGUUUCAGUCAUUUUGACUGCGGCCAUGCUGGGGCACCACCUUUUAGUCGAGCAAAUCAACCCCAGGACUUAUUCUUUGUAAGCCUAGUACUUAUUCUAUCGGUCUCUUUUGCCAAACCGCUAAGUUGCGGGGACGUAAACACACCAGCCUCGGUUGUCAAGCGAAGUUGGGGAGGACAAACACAGACACACAAACAUAUACACACACAUUAUAUAUACACAUAUAUAUGACGGGCUUCUUUCAGUUUCCGUCUACCAAAUCCACUUACAA